AGUAGUCUCGCACAGAUGCAUAUCAAUAAGCGGAGGAAAAGAAACUAACAAGGAUUCCCUUAGUAACGGCGAGUGAAGCGGGAAGAGCUCAAAUUUGAAAUCUUCAAGGUUUUACCUUGACGAAUUGUAGUUUAAAGAAGUGUUUUCUGUUGAAGUUUUGGUAAAAGUUCUUUGGAAUAGGACAUCAUAGAGGGUGAGAAUCCCGUAUUUGACCAUUAUUUUCAGCUGUGUGAUACACUUUCAAAGAGUCGGAUUGUUUGGGAAUGCAGUCCAAAAUGGGUGGUAAAUUUCAUCUAAAGCUAAAUAUUGGCGAGAGACCGAUAGCGAACAAGUACCGUGAGGGAAAGAUGAAAAGAACUUUGAAAAGAGAGUUAAACAGUACGUGAAAUUGUCAAAAGGGAAGCGUUUGACACCAGUGUUGUUUUCUCGAAAAUCAAUUAAAAAGAGUUUAGAUUUUGUUGUGUAUUGACCUUAACAGCUUGCAUUUCAAUUUUCUUGCUUUUUUUAAUGCACUUUUCGUUUAACAAGUCAACAUCAGUUUCUUUUGUUGUAAAAAGGUCAUUGGAAGGUGGCUUUCUUUUCGGAGAAAGUGUUUAUAGGCCUUUGACUCCUGCAAUCGGAGAGACUGAGGUCUGCAGCGUAGAUCCUUCGGGGUUAGAUACAUUUGUGCUAAGUUAUAGCUUUUUAUAGACAACUUGUUGACUAUGAUUAGUCUUGUAGCUUACUCGCUUAUGCUAUUUUACCUACGCUUAGGAUGUUGAGCGCAUGUCUCUCUCU
rnacentral:rRNA from 1 species